UACGAGGGGGGCAAGCGUUGUUCGGAAUUAUUGGGCGUAAAGGGCGCGUAGGCGGCCUGAUAAGUAGGGGGUGAAAUCCUGCGGCUUAACCGCAGGGCUGCCUUCUAAACUGUCGGGCUAGAGCACGGUAGAGGCAGAUGGAAUUCCCGGUGUAGCGGUGGAAUGCGUAGAGAUCGGGAAGAACAUCAGUGGCGAAGGCGGUCUGGCUGGG
rnacentral:rRNA from 1 species